rnacentral:tRNA from 1 species
CAACAGUAAACUAUUUUAAGUUUGUGGGGUUCAUAGUCCUAAGUAUGUGGUGAAAUAAAAACUGCCUGUUGA